UACGAAGGGGGCUAGCGUUGCUCGGAAUCACUGGGCGUAAAGGGUGCGUAGGCGGGUCUUUAAGUCAGGGGUGAAAUCCUGGAGCUCAACUCCAGAACUGCCUUUGAUACUGAAGAUCUUGAGUUCGGGAGAGGCGAGUGGAACUGCGAGUGUAGAGGUGAAAUUCGUAGAUAUUCGCAAGAACACCAGUGGCGAAGGCGGCUCACUGGCCCGAUACUGACGCUGAGGCACGAAAGCGUGGGGAGCAAACGGG
rnacentral:rRNA from 1 species